rnacentral:rRNA from 1 species
AGAGUUUGAUCCUGGCUCAGAUUGAACGCUGGCGGUAUGCUUUACACAUGCAAGUCGAACGGGCUUGGGGGCUUGCUCCCAGGUUAGUGGCGAACGGGUGAGUAAUAUAUCGGAACAUAUCCGGAAGUGGGGGAUAACGUAGCGAAAGUUACGCUAAUACCGCAUAUGCCCUGAGGGGGAAAGGGGGGGAUCGCAAGACCUCUCGCUUUCGGAGUGGCCGAUACCGGAUUAGCUAGAUGGUGAGGUAAAGGCUCACCAUGGCGACGAUCCGUAGCGGGUCUGAGAGGACGACCCUCCAC